UGGGUGUGUGGCAGCAUUUCCACAGAUAUACAGAAGCACUGGCCAUUUACUCCAUUGCAGGACAAAACUAACCUGUGUAUAGCAAAAAUUAUGCUUGCCCUGGAAAAGGAUGACCAGAGACCCUAAUGGAGUUUAUAGUUUUACACUAAAAUGUGAGAAUGUGAGUAUCACCUGGGAACACCCUAAAAUCACAAGGUCUAAAAAAUAGGAUAGUCAACCCUGGCCUAUGGGAAAGUAGAAGGUCUGGAUUUAGUAAAAUGUUAGGACUUCUCAGGGGAAGAAGCUGUUCAGUAUUUUGAAGAGUGGUUCAUCAUUCCAGCAGCUGGUCUAAGCUUCUGCUACUGCUUCAGGUACUUCAGGAGUGAAUUUGAAAACUGUUGAGUAGUUUAAAGAGACUGACAUCAUGAAAAUUAUUUAGAUCACCAUGGCUUCCAUCACCUGGGUUCAGUUCUCUGUGCAGCUACAGAUGAGACAAGAACUAUUGCACCAGGGAAUAGUUUUGAUCAGGUGUACUGCCGUUCUGAGGCAGACUAGAUUAGUGCUUUGGCUGUAGCACAGCAGAAGGGAGAAUGUACAACCCCCCAGCAGGGCUGGGGAGCCUCUGGACUAUGAUAUGUGCAAAGAUUUUCACACCAAGCUGGAAAAGGAUACCAAGGUGAGGCUUAGCACUUAGUGUCAAACUAGGUGUGAGCCAUGGAGCUAGCAAAGUAGUUGUGCUCCUACUUUCCUUCUUCCUUUAAACAGUAACUACGCAUCUUUCCAAGGAGUCUCUGUAGUAUUUUCUUGAGAGCCCAUAGCAGGCUAUAGGUAUUUCAUGUGCACCAUGUUGUCCUGAUUUCUAGUUGCCUAGAUGAAGGUGGCUAUUGGAAGCAUGAUAAACUCCAAUUGCCUCCUGGUGUCUGUGGGGAACUAUGUACAUCUCACUCCAUCAUGUGCUUGAAUCAUGGAAAUGAUGUGCACUGGGAGUGGGACUUCCUAGAUGAUGUGGGCUCAGACUGUUUCAGAGAUGAGGAGUUGCAUUUUUUAAUUUCUCCAAGCAACUGAACAAUUUUUUAAUGAUUGCUUUUCUUCCUAAGAAGAAAAAAACCUUCCUUAUAACAUUAAUAGACUAAUAACUUAGAUAACACAUUUUAUGUGACAUUAGAAAGCUUAGUGAUCUGGUGAGGUCUAAUUAUAAAAAAUAAUAAUGUGUACCCAGGGACUGAACUUGCAGAAGGUUUUCCAAAUCUAGAUCCGUUUGCUAACUAUAAAGAUUCAUCUACUGAUUAAAUUUUGGACUUUGCAAUCUUCAGAGAUAGGGCUUAA
rnacentral:lncRNA from 1 species